rnacentral:rRNA from 1 species
AGAGUUUGAUCCUGGCUCAGGACGAACGCUGGCGGCGUGCCUAACACAUGCAAGUCGAACGGAACUUCUUUAAAGGAUUUCUUCGGAAUGAAUUUGAUUAAGUUUAGUGGCGGACGGGUGAGUAACGCGUGAGUAACCUGCCUCUAAGUGGGGAAUAACAUUCUGAAAAGAAUGCUAAUACCGCAUAAUAUAUAUUUAUCGCAUGGUAGAUAUAUCAAAGAUUUAUCGCUUAGAGAUGGACUCGCGUCCGAUUAGUUAGUUGGUGAGGUAACGGCUCACCAAGACCGCGAUCGGUAGCCGGACUGAGAGGUUGAACGGCCACAUUGGGACUGAGACACGGCCCAGACUCCUACGGGAGGCAGCAGUGGGGGAUAUUGCGCAAUGGGGGAAACCCUGACGCAGCAACGCCGCGUGAAGGAUGAAGGUCUUCGGAUUGUAAACUUCUUUUAUUAAGGACGAAGAAAGUGACGGUACUUAAUGAAUAAGCUCCGGCUAACUACGUGCCAGCAGCCGCGGUAAUACGUAGGGAGCAAGCGUUGUCCGGAUUUACUGGGUGUAAAGGGUGCGUAGGCGGCUUUGCAAGUCAGAUGUGAAAUCUAUGGGCUCAACCCAUAGCCUGCAUUUGAAACUGCAGAGCUUGAGUGAAGUAGAGGCAGGCGGAAUUCCCCGUGUAGCGGUGAAAUGCGUAGAGAUGGGGAGGAACACCAGUGGCGAAGGCGGCCUGCUGGGCUUUAACUGACGCUGAGGCACGAAAGCGUGGGUAGCAAACAGGAUUAGAUACCCUGGUAGUCCACGCUGUAAACGAUGAUUACUAGGUGUGGGGGGUCUGACCCCUUCCGUGCCGCAGUUAACACAAUAAGUAAUCCACCUGGGGAGUACGACCGCAAGGUUG